GAUGAACGCUGGCGGCGUGCCUAAUGCAUGCAAGUCGAGCGACGCAUACCGGAGGGGUAACCCACUGGUAUGACGGAGCGGCGAACGGGUGAGUAACACGUGAGCAACCUGCCCCACAGACCGGGAUAGCCCAGGGAAACCUGGAUUAAUACCGGAUAUCCUCGAACAACCUCAUGGUCGGUCGAGGAAAUGCCUUUGUGCUGUGGGAUGGGCUCGCGGCUUAUCAGCUAGUUGGUGGGUAACGGCCUACCAAGGCAUCGACGAGUAGCUGGUCUGAGAGGACGAACAGCCACACUGGAACUGAGACACGGUCCAGACUCCUACGGGUGGCUG
rnacentral:rRNA from 1 species